rnacentral:lncRNA from 1 species
CCGAACCCGAUCCGGUUUUUCGUAGAUCACCUUUUCCAAAAUAAGGAGUCACACUUAGGGUUUUUCUUUCUUAUUUUGUUUACCCCUUUUAAAAAUAAAACAAAAAUAAGUGGCGACUCCAAGUCAUUUUUCUUAAUCAAUAAAAAUCAAUUUUUCAAAAUAAAAAUCGAGCUCGCCAUCGAGUGGGAAACGCAUUGAGCCGAAAUGCGGGGUCCACA